rnacentral:rRNA from 1 species
AGUGAACGCUGGCGGUAGGCCUAACACAUGCAAGUCGAACGGCAGCACAGGAGAGCUUGCUCUCUGGGUGGCGAGUGGCGGACGGGUGAGGAAUACAUCGGAAUCUACUCUGUCGUGGGGGAUAACGUAGGGAAACUUACGCUAAUACCGCGUACGACCUACGGGUGAAAGCAGGGGACCUUCGGGUCUUGCGCGAUUGAAUGAGCCGAUGUCGGAUUAGCUAGUUGGCGGGGUAAAGGCCCACCAAGGCGACGAUCCGUAGCUGGUCUGAGAGGAUGAUCAGCCACACUGGAACUGAGACACGGUCCAGACGCCUACGGGAGGCAGCAGUGGGGGAUAUUGGACAAUGGGCGCAAGCCUGAUCCAGCCAUACCGCGUGGGUGAAGAAGGCCUUCGGGUUGUAAAGCCCUUUUGUUGGGAAAGAAAUCCAGCUGGCUAAUACCCGGUUGGGAUGACGGUACCCAAAGAAUAAGCACCGGCUAACUUCGUGCCAGCCGCCGCCGUAA